CCUACGGGAGGCAGCAGUGGGGAAUAUUGGACAAUGGGCGCAAGCCUGAUCCAGCCAUACCGCGUGUGUGAAGAAGGCCUUUUGGUUGUAAAGCACUUUAAGCGAGGAGGAGGCUCUUGAGGAUAAUACCCUUGAUGAGUGGACGUUACUCGCAGAAUAAGCACCGGCUAACUCUGUGCCAGCAGCCGCGGUAAUACAGAGGGUGCGAGCGUUAAUCGGAAUUACUGGGCGUAAAGCGCGCGUAGGCGGCUUGUUAAGUCGGAUGUGAAAUCCCCGGGCUCAACCUGGGCACUGCAUUCGAUACUGGCAAGCUAGAGUAUGGGAGAGGAAGGUAGAAUUCCAGGUGUAGCGGUGAAAUGCGUAGAGAUCUGGAGGAAUACCGAUGGCGAAGGCAGCCUUCUGGCCUAAUACUGACGCUGAGGUGCGAAAGCAUGGGGAGCAAACAGGAUUAGAUACCCUGGUAGUCCAUGCCGUAAACGNUGUCAACUAGCCGUUGGGACCUUGAGUUCUUUAGUGGCGCAGCUAACGCGAUAGUUGACCGCGUGGGGAGUACGGUCGCGAAGACUAAAACGUCGAAAGGUAGUUAGGACGGCNGGAGGACGNGGCGACGGACGACGACGAGGGGAGGAGG
rnacentral:rRNA from 1 species